rnacentral:rRNA from 1 species
AAGACCUUGCGCUUUUGGAGCGGCCGAUGCCUGAUUAGCUAGUUGGUGGGGUAAUGGCCUACCAAAGCUUCGAUCAGUAGCUGGUCUGAGAGGACGGCCAGCCACACUGGGACUGAGACACGGCCCAGACUCCUACGGGAGGCAGCAGUGGGGAACUUUGGACAAUGGGCGCAAGCCUGAUCCAGCCAUGCCGCGUGAGUGAAGAAGGCCUUCGGGUUGUAAAGCUCUUUCAGCCGGGAAGAAAAGGUUGCGAUUAAUAAUCGCAAUUUAUGACGGUACCGGAAGAAGAGGCACCGGCUAACUACGUGCCAGCAGCCGCGGUAAUACGUAGGGUGCGAGCGUUAAUCGGAAUUACUGGGCGUAAAGGGUGCGCAGGCGGUUUUGUAAGUCAGAUGUGAAAUCCCCGGGCUUAACCUGGGAACU